rnacentral:misc_RNA from 1 species
UCACAUCUUACGAUGGCAGUCCCACUAGAGUCCUCAGCAUGACCUGUUAGUAACUAAUGGCAAGGGUUGCGCUCGUUAUGGCACUUAAGCCGACACCUCACGGCACGAGCUGACGACAACCAUGCAGCACCUUCACAGAGGUCCGAAGAAGACUCAAUCUCUUGAGCUAUCCUCUGCAAUUUAAGCCCGGGUAAGGUUCCUCGCGUAUCAUCGAAUUAAACCACAUGUUCCUCCGCUUGUGCGGGCCCCCGUCAAUUCCUUUGAGUUUCACCGUUGCCGGCGUACUCCCCAGGUGGAAUACUUAAUGCUUUCGCUUGGCCGCUGACCGUAUAUCGCCAACAGCGAGUAUUCAUCGUUUACCGUGUGGACUAC